GUAAUCAGUGCCCAGUUUACCACCUUAACUCUAGUCUAGUGGCAGCAGACCGCUGCCUAGAUGAUGCAACACUGUACUCAACUAGGAGCCUUUGCUGGCUUAAGAUGGGUGAAGGAGACCAAGCUUUGAUGAAUGCUGGAAUUUGCAAGAUGAAGCGCCUAGGUUGGGCAAAGGCCUGCUACCUGCAAGGAUCUGCUCAAAUUUUACUGCUGACAGCUUGCGGUCCAGGAUUGGGUUGGAUUCAGCCUCGUCGGGGCAGCCAUCACAGCCAAGAGUAAUGUUGGCGGCGGCCCUGGAUCUCGGUGAUCGAGCAGACAAUGAGGAACUGGGAGUACUGUGACUAGGAUUCAAGAGGGCAACCGACGAGCAGGGCGCAGUGAUUCAAGACCAUGAAGAUAGUGAUGCUUGCAGUUUCGGUUCAGACAACAGGCAAGGUCGACCCUCAAGCUCCAGGCUGGACUAAAAGCACACCCUGAUGAGACCCUGAUGGCUGCCGGCUGCAAGUUGUUGACCCCUGCCGAGGUAGCCGCCAUGCUCCCGUCCACGGCGAAUCUGGAAGCGGCGGACAUGGUGGACUGCAUGCUCCGGCUGCUGGCCUCGUACGACGUGGUGUCGUGCACGGUGGAGGAGGGCAAGGACGGCCGCCUCUCCCGGCGGUGCGACGCUGCGCCCGUGUACAAGUUCCUCACCCCCAACGAGGACGGCUUCUCCAUGUCAGCGCUGGCGCUCAUGAGUCAUGAACCAGGACCAAGUCCUCAUGGAGAGCUGUAAUUUCACAGGAGUACCAGCAGAGGCAGCAGCGGAGGUGGUCGCCUGCAACCAAAAUUCCAUUCCGGAAUUAGUCACAGAGAACAGCUCAAGCAAAGAGCAUUGGCAGCGUUGGGGAAUCAAUAGAGGAGAUCGAGGGAUCAUGGCCAAUGCGUCCAGAGGAAGCGCACCGGUGGUGGUCUGGUUAUGCGGCGGAGAGCUCGAAACGCGCCUCCUAUACGCCGUCUCUUCAAAUUGUGCCACCAUCUGUGCCGCAUGGAGGAGAGAUGGGGGAUGGCGCCGGCAAAGGAGAUGGAGGCUAGCGGUGGGGCUCCGGCGAGGUGGCGGCGCGUGAUGCAAGGAUGCGUGGUCCUGUGAGCUGGGCCUGGUAGCGCUUGUGACCGGAUCAGCGCGACUGACGCCUGUUCCCUCGGUGCGUGUGCAACCGAGUGUUGAGUUUGAACUUCACUUGCUCUUGUAAACUUGGGUUCUUUUUGCAAAGCUUGAUUAGGCCAUGAAGAAUUACCAUGUUUCUUCUUUGUGGGCAGUAUGUUUUGCCUAGAAAUGCUGGACAUGUGGGUCAUAUAACAUGCACUACAUAAUUGGGUUCAUGCCCAUUGGUGUGCUUUACUCGUUUCAUGG
rnacentral:rRNA from 1 species